CAGCAGUGAGCAGUGACUGGCCUUGAGGACGGCCUCCCUGGCCUACCUUCUGCUUUCCUGGAAAAGAUGAAUAUACAUCAUUUGAACC
rnacentral:sRNA from 1 species